rnacentral:lncRNA from 1 species
AAAAAAUAUGGCUCAAUUUCUCAUAUUUGUUUAUGCUUUGAUCAUCUUUCUUUUUCCAUUUCUUAUUGAAGCAUCCACAUUCAGACGUAUGACUUUUUUCAAACCAUUUUUUAUUUUCCCAAGUUUGUCUUGUACAUGAUAUUUUAUCACAUUUUAGUAACAUUUUUUUUCUUAAUUGUCAAUGCAGUUAACAUUCGUUGUGUUACCGUUGAUGAUUGUCCAAAGGUGAUUAAACCGCUAUUGAUGUGGUGUAUUAAUAAGUAUUGUCAGUACUAUUUUUCUGAGAUUCCGUAAGUUAAAACUUAAUUAUAUAACAUCCAAAUAAAUAAUAUUCCCUUCGUUUGAAAAUUAAUGUCGUUUAAAGUUUUUACGCACAUAUUAAAAAAUGCAUUAAUUAAAAGAAACAGAGACGCUAAUUUAUCAAAUUAUCCUAAU